AGUGAACGCUGGCGGUAGGCCUAACACAUGCAAGUCGAACGGCAGCACAGUAAGAGCUUGCUCUUACGGGUGGCGAGUGGCGGACGGGUGAGGUAUACAUCGGAAUCUACUUUUUCGUGGGGGAUAACGUAGGGAAACUUACGCUAAUACCGCAUACGACCUACGGGUGAAAGCAGGGGAUCUUCUGACCUUGCGCGAUUGAAUGAGCCGAUGUCGGAUUAGCUCGUUGGCGGGGCAAAGGCCCACCUAGGCGACGAUCCGUAGCUGGUCUGAGAGGAUGGUCAGCCACACUGGAACUGAGACAGGGUCCAGACUCCUACAGGAGGCCGCAGUGCAGAAUAUUAGACGAUGGGCGAAUGCCUGAUCCAGCCAUACCGCGUGGAUGAAGAAGGCCUUCGGCUUGUUAAGCCCUGUUGUUGGGAGAGAAAAACAGCACGUUUAUACCCCGCUGUUCUGACGGUACCCAAAGAAUAAGCACCGGCUAACUUCGUG
rnacentral:rRNA from 1 species